rnacentral:rRNA from 1 species
GUGGGGAAUAUUGCGCAAUGGGGGAAACCCUGACGCAGCGACGCCGUGUGAGGGAAGAAGGCUUUCGGGUCGUAAACCUCUGUCAGAAAGGAAGAACCUCCCAUAUCCGAAUAGGGUGUGGGACUGACGGUACUUUCAAAGGAAGCACCGGCUAACUCCGUGCCAGCAGCCGCGGUAAUACGGAGGGUGCUAGCGUUAAUCGGAAUCACUGGGCGUAAAGCGCGCGUAGGCCGCUUCUUAAGUCGGACGUGAAAGCCCUCGGCUCAACCGGGGAACUGCGUUCGAUACUGGGAGGCUUGAGUCCUGGAGAGGGUGGCGGAAUUCCGGGUGUAGGAGUGAAAUCCGUAGAUAUCCGGAGGAACACCGGUGGCGAAGGCGGCCACCUGGACAGGUACUGACGCUGAGGCGCGAAAGCGUGGGGAGCAAACAGGAUUAGAUACCCCUGUAGUCC